GAUGAAGAACGCAGCGAAAUGCGAUAAGUAAUGUGAAUUGCAGAAUUCAGUGAAUCAUCGAAUCUUUGAACGCACAUUACGCCCGUCAGUAUUCUGGCGGGCAUGCCUGUUCGAGCGUCAUUACGCCCCUCAAGUCCCCUGUGGACUUGGUGUUGGGGAUCGGCGAGGCUGGUUUUCCAGCACAGCCGUCCCUUAAAUUAAUUGGCGGUCUCGCCGUGGCCCUCCUCUGCGCAGUAGUAAAACACUCGCAACAGGAGCCCGGCGCGGUCCACUGCCGUAAAACCCCCCAACUUUUUAUAGUUGACCUCGAAUCAGGUAGGACUACCCGCUGAACUUAAGCAUAUCAAUAAGCGGAGGA
rnacentral:misc_RNA from 1 species